rnacentral:rRNA from 1 species
AGAGCGAACGCUGGCGGCAGGCCUAACACAUGCAAGUCGAGCGGCCGUAGCAAUACGGCAGCGGCAGACGGGAGAGUAACACGUGGGAACGCGCCCUUCGGUUCGGAAUAACUCAGGGAAACUUGAGCUAAUACCGAAUACGCCCUUACGGGGAAAGAUUUAUUGCCGAAGGAACGGCCCGCGUCCGAUUAGCUAGUUGGUGAGGUAAUGGCUCACCAAGGCGACGAUCGGUAGCUGGUCUGAGAGGAUGACCAGCCUCACUGGGACUGAGACACGGCCCAGACUCCUACGGGAGGCAGCAGUGGGGAAUAUUGGACAAUGGGCGCAAGCCUGAUCCAGCCAUGCCGCGUGGAUGAUGAAGGCCUUAGGGUUGUAAAGUCCUUUUAACGGGGAAGAUAAUGACGGUACCCGUAGAAUAAGCCCCGGACUAACUUCGUGCCAGCAGCCGC